rnacentral:misc_RNA from 1 species
GAACGCACCUUGCACCCUUUGGCAUUCCGAAGGGUAUGCUCGUUUGAGUGUCAUUGUACUCUCACACUUCCAAUCUUUGGAUUGGGAGCGGUGGACUUGGGUGUUGCUGCUUACUGUGGCUCACCUCAAAUCGAUUCGUGCACCUCUUGGUUGGACAUAGUACGGCGUGAUAAGUGUCUUCGCCGGCACCUCAGUAGAGGGUGGCUGAUCGGGAGCUCUGUGCUUCAAACCGUCCUCGGACAACAACUGACAACUUGACCUCAAAUCGAGUAGGACUACCCGCUGAACUUAAG